UACGGAGGGGGCUAGCGUUGUUCGGAAUUACUGGGCGUAAAGCGCACGUAGGCGGCUUUGUAAGUCAGAGGUGAAAGCCCGGAGCUUAACUCCGGAAUUGCCUUUGAGACUGCAUCGCUUGAAUCCAGGAGAGGUGAGUGGAAUUCCGAGUGUAGAGGUGAAAUUCGUAGAUAUUCGGAAGAACACCAGUGGCGAAGGCGGCUCACUGGACUGGUAUUGACGCUGAGGUGCGAAAGCGUGGGGAGCAAACAGG
rnacentral:rRNA from 2 species